rnacentral:rRNA from 1 species
UACGGAGGGGGCUAGCGUUGUUCGGAAUUACUGGGCGUAAAGCGCACGUAGGCGGCUUUCUAAGUCGGGGGUGAAAUCCUGGAGCUCAACUCCAGAACUGCCUUCGAUACUGGAAAGCUCGAGUCCGGGAGAGGUGAGUGGAACUGCGAGUGUAGAGGUGAAAUUCGUAGAUAUUCGCAAGAACACCAGUGGCGAAGGCGG